UACGGGGGGAGCACGCGUUGUUCGGAUUUACUGGGCGUAAAGGGCGCGUAGGCGGUCACGACAAGUCAGUUGUGAAAUCUCCGGGCUUAACUCGGAACGGUCAACUGAUACUGUCGGACUAGAGUGCAGAAGGGGCAACUGGAAUUCUCGGUGUAGCGGUGAAAUGCGUAGAUAUCGAGACGAACACCUGCGGCGAAGGCGGGUUGCUGGGCUGACACUGACGCUGAGGCGCGAAAGCUAGGGGAGCGAACGGG
rnacentral:rRNA from 1 species